rnacentral:lncRNA from 1 species
UAGGGCAUAAGUUUGCCUCAUUUAGAGGGAGAAUGAGAGGUGGAGAAAAUUCAAAAAAGAGAUAAAAGAAAGUUUAUUGGGAGGGGAUUGGACCCUACAACAAGUACUCAGACAUAAUGUUUUCCAGCUAAGCUAUAUAUAAUGAGGUUGCUCUUUUCAGCUCUUUCUUUUUGCCAAAUAUGUCUCAAUCAACCAACCAACCAGGUAGGUCAAAGUUCGUUCAUUCAUUCAUUGAAUAUUUUCUUCUUCUUUUUUUAGAAUAAGCACAAUGAACGUGAUAUUAAAAUCUCUCACCAAUUUGCCAUUCACGUGAAGUUCCUACAUAAAUCUCACAAAAUCAAGUUUAAUAUCUCCCUAGAAUUCUUUCAAAAAAGCAAAAUUCACCUCAUUUAGCCUAAAACUUUUACAACCACCACAAUCUCAAACUAUCUCCCUAAUUUCAUCCUAAAAAAAAGUCUUACAAGCAACAAAGACUCAUCUUCGCUUAACAUAGAAAACUACAAACAAACAUCAACUGAAACAAACCUCUGCAUUUAAAAAUGAUUCUCAAAGUGAGGAAAUAUCACCUCUUGAAUAUGUUUCACCCCUCCAUUGUGCCUCCCUCAACUUCUAGACUCCUUAUAGAAUUAUGACGAUGCUUACUAGAUACCACCCCAUGAAAGUAUCUAAUAUUACCAUUCUCUUCGUUCAACCACCGAACUCUAGACUUUUGCCACAUAAUGCUACAAUUCAAUUUAGAUGACUAACUCAAUGGUCGUUAAGAACCUCAUCUCCUCAAUAUCAGAGUCAAUCAACAUAUUCAUCUCUCUUUUCAAAUCAAUUGCAUUUAGACCAUCUUUGGAAGUCUUAAAUUUUUCAAUAACAUUAGAACUGUGAAUCUUAUGUCAACCCCUCAAAGACAUCUUAAUUCCCUUUAUUUUUUCUUUCGGCACAAAACCACCCCAACCAUCAAAGGACAUCGAACUCUAAAUUUAUUUGACAAAAUCACGAUAAUCUCCAUAAUUCGCGCGACACUUCAAUAUACGAAAGGAUUUAGAGCCUCAAUCCUAUCCCGAAUCUUGAUAAAAGUAGCGCACAUUGAAUAUCC